rnacentral:sRNA from 1 species
CUAAGGUUCGAUUCGAGCGAAAGCGAGAAAGCUUUGCCGCAGGCAACGACCCGAAGGGCGAAACGCGCAGCGCUGAGUCAUCCUUCCCCCACCACCA